CCCAUUGCUAUAUGAUGACAAAAUGUUGGUAGGGACAUCUGAAUCGAUGUGAGGAAAGGCCAACUGUCCUGACCGCAUGGG